ensembl:lncRNA
GGCAAAGUGUUUCUGCGCAGUGUACCAGGGGCAUGUUUGAAUUUACAUUCUGGAGUACCAGGGGCACGAGGAUUUUGCCAGUGGUGUUUUGCUUUGUCAGUGGGAGGGGGCUUAAGUGUGGGUCCACGGGGCAUGCUGGAGGUCAAGGUCCAUGCUGGAUAUGCGCUGGAGCGUAACUGCAAGAAAGGAAAGCUAGUGGGGGAUUAGAGCAGGGGAGGAUGUGCGUCCCCGGGGCCUGCUGGAGGUCAAGGUCCAUGCUGGAUAUGCGCUGGAGCGUAACUACAAGAAAGGUAAGCUAGUGGGGGACUAGAGCAGGGGAGGAUGUGCGUCCCCGGGGCAUGCUGGAGGUCAAGGGCCAUGCUGGAUAUGCGGUGGAGGGUAACUGCAGGAGAAGGAAAGCUCAUGGGGGAUUAGAGCGGAGGAGUAUGUGGGUCCUCGGGGCCUGCUGGAGGGCAAGGGCCAUGCUGGAUUUGUGGUGGAGGGUAACUGCGGGAGAAGGAAAGCUAGUGGGGGAGUAGAGCAGAGGAGUAUGUUGGUCCCCGGGGCCUGCUGGAGGUCCAGGUCCAUGCCCGAGUCACUUAGAUAAAUUAAAAAUGUUGUUGUUUGGCUUUGUUUUUUUUUUUUUGUAUUUUAUUUGUUCCUGAGUAAAUCGGUUUGGCUGAGAUUAAAGUUAUAGUUUUUACACAGCUGAAUAAACGUCAAGCAGACAGCUGAUUAUCAGAAGUGUGAGAUGCUGGAGAAUAUACUCCGGUGUCCUGUUAUAUUUUAGACAGCAAGGAGUGUAUUAAACUUUACCGAAACAAUUUGCAAAUUUCAUUAAAAUUGAAUAAACUAUCAUCUUGUCUUUAUUUUUAGUUAGCACCUUAAAAGCUUAAAGCUGUAAGCUAAUGAUAGUUAUAUAAGAGCAGAUGCUGCUGGUGCAAUAAGCUGUAGUUUUACGUCCAGUGGAUGAUGAUCUGAUUAGUCGACUAAUCGCAUAAAUAAUCGGUGACUAGUCGACUAUCAAAAUAAUCGUUUGUGGCAGCCCUACUUCUAUGCCCCAUCUUUGUUUACUCUUUCCCACCCAACAAGUGCAUAAAUAAGAUGUUAAAAACGUCAUCAUCAUAUCAAACAUGAUCGAUUUGGGGGGAGUUUGUUUGGCACAUGCUGACUGCAUUCUAAUUA